rnacentral:rRNA from 1 species
UACGAAGGGGGCUAGCGUUGCUCGGAAUCACUGGGCGUAAAGGGUGCGUAGGCGGGUCUUUAAGUCAGGGGUGAAAUCCUGGAGCUCAACUCCAGAACUGCCUUUGAUACUGAGGAUCUUGAGUACGGGAGAGGUGAGUGGAACUGCGAGUGUAGAGGUGAAAUUCGUAGAUAUUCGCAAGAACACCAGUGGCGAAGGCGGACUCACUGGCCCGUAACUGACGCUGAGGCACGAAAGCGUGGGGAGCAAACAGG